AAAAAGCCUGCGCGGCUUGGCCCUCUCUGCAUCGUAAAGUGCUGUGGCUGGGGUGCGUAACAGCUCCUCUCUGCUCUGCUCUGCUCUGGGAGGCUGAUGCUGUCUUCUACUGCGGACAGAGAGCGCAGGGAGGCCGGGGACGGAGCUCCACUACAGCAGGAGGAUGAGCAUCGAUAUGCGAAGGUGCACCGCCCAAAAAAGCAGCAUCAGCCUCUAAACUACAGUACUGCGUUCAUCCCCGAUAGUGUGCUGUCGUCUCCUGCUAUCUUCUCCGUGAGCAACACUUGGCUCAACCAAUGGGAUGAGGGUAUUCUGGAUUGUUCCAUAUAUGUUGUCAGCUCAUUGGACACAACGCAGGAAAGGGCUGUGGAAUAAGUUUACUACAUAACAACAAACCUGGCACGAGCAAAUACUGGAGCAACUGUGGUUGUUAAGGAGUGGCUGGCACGAGUUGCCAAGCCGGGGCAUGUGAGGUGGAGAUGAAGAGGCCUCAAGACGGAUGCGGCGGCGGUGUCAUCAUCAUCUGGAUCAGUGAGUAAAGGGGAAGAUGGAAAUCGGAUGCCCGUUAGGAGAAGUAUUGCAUGCCAACAGCACAUCAUUGCUGGAGUCCAUUUUUAAUGGGAGGCGUGUUUCAAGGAACUCUUGUCUCAUCCUUCUGUGGUCCAUCCGAGGAAUGAAAAAUGGCGUGCAGCUGGCUGAGUACUUCCUUCCCCUUGUUGGGGUCAGCAGUUCACCAUGCUGAUAGAGACCCUCACACCUUCUUUAUUAGGAGCUCCCCUGCACUCAGACAAGUUGUUAUUCUGCAUCGCUGGACAGACAUCAGCGCUACCUUUGUCUAGGAACAUGGCCCGGUCCCAUCCAUAUGGUGAGAAAGGAGAGAAGAUAUAUUUGGAGCAUCACACUUUUAAGAGCGUGAGCCUUAACUCCCCUGGGUCAUUUUCUGCUUUGGUCUUAAUUGAGAGUGUUCUUGAAAAAUCAUUACUAUAUUAAUGAUUUAACACAAAGUAACUACCUGCUUUUUUCCAGGAGGAAAGUGAGAUUUGCCUCCAAUCAAUACCCAUGCACACUCAUUAUAAGGCAGGUAAAGUUAUAGUAAUUAGGCAGACACCAAUAACUUUUUAAUGAUCUUUGUUUUUAAUUGCAUAUUAUCGGUUUGCACGGUGUGUGUGUUUACACCCAAAUAUAAGAUAAUGGUAAAAGGAGAAGUAGAUUAAAGAGGAGCCAACAAGUUUUUUUUCUUUCUUUUUUUUAUUCCUUUCAGCAGCAACAGCAGAUAAGUCUGCGGAGUAAAGUGAGUAUGAAUUCAACCAAUGCCUCUGGGUAAUUUCUUUUGUUUGCAUCAGUUUUACCACUAAUGUGCCUACACCCGCUGUCUGGGAUUUUGAAAUAUUUGUAAAACACUUCCCUUCCUGCUGUCUAUGAGGGCGAGGAAGUGAAAGCACUGCAGGAAAAAAAGGGCUCAAGGAGCCUUUAGAGAAAUGAAAACAUUAAUAUGUUAGUUAACUUAAAGGCAGGUUACAAUGUCAUAUUCGGUGUAAAAUGAUGCCUUACAGGUAAAGUGAAAAUUAUCAACAGUAAAGUUUACAUUUUAGGUAAUUAAAGGCAGUCUGCCAAUGGAUAGAAGGGUUUCAUGUUGCCUGUAUAAUAAAGGUAAUAAAAAUAUAAAUGAAAUUCAACGUAAGUGUGGCCAUCUGCCAGCUAUUAAAGGGGAAGUAGUCUAUUUAAAGUAGAGGAGAGGACUAUGUCUACCACAAAAUGGGAAGAGAGAGAUAUUCGCUAACAGAGCCCAAGAAGGCCUAGCUGGCAAUCCAGUACCGUUUGUAUGCAAGAGAGCUAUCAUUAACCCCUCCCCACACUCUCUCCACCACCAUCCUCACAUGGCCUGUUCGGUGUGGCCCGCUCCCCCAAAACACUUCAGCAGAUUGUUGAUUCAAUGACUCCCCCAUCAGGUGAUUAUCUAGGAGCUUUAAUGUAAUCUUCCAUUCACACGUACCAUAUUUAAAUUACGACUACCAUCGUGAAACAUGCUGCAUAUUCAAUUCGACGAUCGCUCUGCCGCCACCUCAACAAUGUCAACUGUAAAACAGUGCCAGCUGAAGGCAAUUACACAUGUUUUCAGAGCCAAUUAUGAUCGCUCUCACUGCAGCAGUUAUGCCACAAGCAAGGGAGUGUUCAGAAAUUUUUAAUUUAAUGACAAUAUGCUCAUAGCAGGAUUCGGCAGGCUGCCCCUGCUCCCUGGUCUGCCGUCUCAGAAUCCACAGAGGGGACCAUUAGGUAGACAGGAAAAGAUGAUGGCUCCUCUCAAGGGCCACACUGGGAGCACUGGGAGGGACUCAGGAGUGUAGGGUAGAUAGCAUACACUCAUCUUUUCUAAGUGAGCACAGCUGCCAGGGCAAAAUACAAACUGGAAAGAUGAGCUGUAUUGGUUCAACGUUCAGUUUGGUAACAGAUGACGGUGGGAGCUCAGAUUCCCACGUGCUUAUAGCUUAGCAAUAGACAUAGGCAAGAUGAUAUUCUCAUGGAAUGUCAAUACUCAAUUAAAUAUGAUCGUUGUAACUAUAACAUAAUCUACAUUUAUCAGUAAUCAUUAUUUAUCCUUAAAUACCAUGUUCAUAUGGGUGCUUAAAAUCCUUAAAAAUUCUUGAAUUUCAAUUUAUGUUUUUAAGGAUUAAAAAAUGCUCCAAAGUGAGUCUAGUCCUGGUAAUUGCUGGAGAUUUUAAUCAUAAAUAUCUCACAACAAAUAGACAGCUCACAAAAUAUAAUGCUUAUUAAAAAGAGAGAAAUAAAGUAGUAAAAUAAAAACAAAAUAUUAACCGCAUUGUCUGGUGUGCCUCACGCAAGCCUUUGGGUCAGUGUCAUGCCAGUCUGUUGCCAUGCUGACAUAGCUCCCAAACGGACAGAAUGCCAAACAACCAUGUUGGGAGUAUGUUAUUUUAAUCAACUGCAGCUGGAAAAUAUUAAAUAUAUAUGGUGGCUCAAAAACGGAGCAAAUCCAACAUUUGGCAAAAUGCAAAGUAUGCAGAAGAGAGAUUUGGCUUUUUGCAAUGGGAGAGUCAUCACUCUCUAGUCACGUGAACACUAAGUCAUGCAGGCACUUGCUACAAUGUUAGCCGUACAUGUUCAAUUUUUCUUUUUAUUUAUACUACUAGCUAGCUACAUGCUAACCAUACAUUAUAUAGAACCCCUUCUAAAGAUGUAUAUACAGUGGGGAAUAGUAAUAAGGUGUCUUUCCAAAAGAGGUAUUCCCACCAGAAUUAGGCUGUGUCCAAAUGUCCGCCCUAAUCACGAUAUAGGGCACUAUACAAUUACACCAUUUUAGAUGAGUGUCUAAACAUCUAGUGGAUGAAAAAGUUGUAGAAUCGAAAUUACCCACAAUGCACCUUGAAAAGUAAUGAUCAUCCAUGGUCACUAGACGGGCAGAUAUAUCCUUGAAUAUAUAGCUAUCCCAAAAUUAUCACUUUGCAAUAGCUCUCCUCCCUAAGCAUUAUGGAAUGUGUUGUAACAGCAGGCCGUGGCAAAUAACAAAGAUGUUGCAUGCACCGUGCAGGGAGGUGGAGGUACGUGACAAACGGAACAAAAAGAAGUGAUCAUCUCUCUGAACAGUCAGUUAACUGAGUUCCCUAUGAAUUCCACUAUAAUGUCCCCGGUCUAUAUAGUGAAUGAGGAAUUUAGGGGUAAGGUUGGACAUUCAUUAGAGCCACAGUUGUUUAUGAAAAAAGAGAAAUUGCCAUUUUGCGUGUGCUUGAACUUGUGUCGUAUUAUGCAAU